rnacentral:rRNA from 1 species
UACGUAGGCGGAAUGCCAAGUAUCUUGUGAAAUCCCUCGGCUCAACCGAGGAAUUGCAGGGUAAACUGGCAUUCUUGAGGCAGGUAGAGGUAACUGGAACUCAUGGUGGAGCGGUGGAAUGCGUAGAUAUCAUGGGAACGCCAAAGGUGAAGACAAGUUACUGGGCCUGUCCUGACGCUGAGGUACGAAAGCGUGGGUAGCAAACAGGAUUAGAUACCCUGGUAGUCC